rnacentral:rRNA from 1 species
GGCGGGACACGUGGUAUCCUGUCUGAAUAUGGGGGGACCAUCCUCCAAGGCUAAAUACUCCUGACUGACCGAUAGUGAACCAGUACCGUGAGGGAAAGGCGAAAAGAACCCCGGCGAGGGGAGUGAAAAAGAACCUGAAACCGUGUACGUACAAGCAGUGGGAGCACAGGUUUACCUGUGUGACUGCGUACCUUUUGUAUAAUGGGUCAGCGACUUAUAUUCUGUAGCAAGGUUAACCGAAUAGGGGAGCCGGAGGGAAACCGAGUCUUAAUUGGGCGUUAAGUUGCAGGGUAUAGACCCGAAACCCGGUGAUCUAGCCAUGGGCAGGUUGAAGGUUGGGUAACACUAACUGGAGGACCGAACCGACUAAUGUUGAAAAAUUAGCGGAUGACCUGUGGCUGGGGGUGAAAGGCCAAUCAAACCGGGAGAUAGCUGGUUCUCCCCGAAAGCUAUUUAGGUAGCGCCUCGUGAAUUCAUCUCCGGGGGUAGAGCACUGUUUCGGCUAGGGGGCCAUCCCGGCUUACCAACCCGAUGCAAACUGCGAAUACCGGAGAAUGUUAUCACGGGAGACACACGGCGGGUGCUAACGUCCGUCGUGAAGAGGGAAACAACCCAGACCGCCAGCUAAGGUCCCAAAGUCAUGGUUAAGUGGGAAACGAUGUGGGAAGGCCCAGACAGCCAGGAUGUUGGCUUAGAAGCAGCCAUCAUUUAAAGAAAGCGUAAUAGCUCACUGGUCGAGUCGGCCUGCGCGGAAGAUGUAACGGGGCUAAACCAUGCACCGAAGCUGCGGCAGCGACACUCAGGUGUUGUUGGGUAGGGGAGCG